rnacentral:rRNA from 1 species
UACGUAGGGCGCGAGCGUUGUCCGGAAUCAUUGGGCGUAAAGAGCUCGUAGGCGGCCGGUUGCGUCUGCUGUGAAAUCCCGGGGCUUAACCCCGGGCGUGCAGUGGAUACGGGCUGGCUGGAGGCAGGCAGGGGAGAAUGGAAUUCCCGGUGUAGCGGUGAAAUGCGCAGAUAUCAGGAGGAACACCAAUGGCGAAGGCAGCUCGCUGGAACGGUACUGACGCUGAGGCGCGAAAGCGUGGGGAGCGAACAGG